rnacentral:rRNA from 1 species
UACGUAGGGCGCAAGCGUUAUCCGGAAUCACUGGGCGUAAAGGGCGCGUAGGCGGCGUUUUAAGUCGGGGGUGAAAGCCUGUGGCUCAACCACAGAAUGGCCUCGAUACUGGGACGCUUGAGUAUGGUAGAGGUUGGUGGAACUGCGAGUGUAGAGGUGAAAUUCGUAGAUAUUCGCAAGAACACCGGUGGCGAAGGCGGCCAACUGGACCAUUACUGACGCUGAGGCGCGAAAGCGUGGGGAGCAAACAGGAU